rnacentral:snRNA from 1 species
GGAUAUGAGGGUGAUCUGGCUGUGCCAUCUGUCACUCCAUCUAUUUUCAGGGUUGAUUUAGCUGAUCUGCUUGGCUAGGUGGGUAUCCCCUUCCUCCCUCUCUGCUCCGUAUGUGCUGGUUCCGUAGUGCUGGUUUUGAAGAGGACAGUCAUCUCCAAACAGAGGCAGAUUGGUCUUCAGUUUAGGGUAUAUGACCCGUGAUCCCCUGCUCAAAGCUCCAAACAAGGGGAAGAGAGAAAACCUGGACAUUUGGCAACAGGGCAGGGUGGGGUGGAAGGCAGUGUCUAAGGGCUGAAACUCAUCAAGGAGCGCUCAGGAGAACAUAUGUGUGUCAGCAUGAG